rnacentral:lncRNA from 1 species
CAUUUAUACACGUGCUCACUGCUCAAUCAACGACCUCAUCGCCUACCCAUGCACGCACACGCAUGUAGAGAGGACGUCUACUUGAAGUAGUAUGGGAGGUCGAGCACGUAGAGGAGGAAGUAGGCCCAGACCACGCCGGAGAUGCCGCCGAAGAAGAAGCCUCCGGUGAACUUGGCCCAGCCGUCGGCGGUCUGCAGCUUGUCGGCCUCCUUCUUGCGGCCGGUGAGCGUGAGCGUGGGCGCCGUGGACGGGUCGCCCUCGUUGAAGGAGGCGACGCCGUACAUGGUGAGGCAGACGCUGAGGAUGGUGACGAGCCCGGCGGCGCCCAGGGCGCCCGCCUGGCCGUGCACGGGCGUGUUGCGGAGCGGGCCGGUGAGGGCGAAGGGGCCCACGAGGAGGUAGCCGUGCGCAAGCCCGACCUCGAUGCCGCGGAGCAGCGGGCUCACGGCGGUGCGGUAGGCCGGGAGGUUGGAGAGGUACCAGGCGAUGAGCGGGCUGGAGGUGAUGGGCGUCUCCAGGCUGCCGAUGAAGGGGUCGCCGUUGAUGGGCUGCACCACCUGGUACGUUGUCUGCUCAAGAACAACAGACAGUUUCUAUCAUCAGAGCCAAAGAAUUUUGUUUGAUCAUACAAAGAUAUAUAAUUGAAUUGCUAAUGUUCAGAGCAUCAAAUUGUAUAUCCAAUUUCCAGUCCUGUGAGAUAGAUCAAAAUGAAUCACACAAGAUGACUGAACUGAAAUCAAGAUUCUAGCAGCAGCACACAUGCAAAGAACUGAUCGAUUUGGAAGCAUUUUGAAUGAAAUUGAUAAUUCAUGUUGCCUAUAGCCAAGAGCCAAAUCGAUCAAAACUAUAAAAAAGAUGCAUCACUAUUUCGUUGCUCAGUAGAUCCACUGACCUUCUCAGGCUGGAUGGCCUUCACGGUGAAGCGGGGCCGCCUGGUCAGCGCAGCGCCUGAAAGGCCCCUGGGCCUCGAGUGCACCAAGCCGCUCUUCAUCACCUGGCUCGCCAUGGGAGCGUACGCGGUAGCCAUCUCGACCUCUGCCUGUCUCUCACGAACAGGGCUCUUCCUUCCUGCAAAAUGGUAGAAGAGGUCUCCUUGUAUCGGCCCAAUUAAAGUUUGU